rnacentral:rRNA from 1 species
UACGUAGGGGACAAGCGUUAUCCGGAUUUACUGGGUGUAAAGGGAGCGUAGGCGGAAGCGCAAGUCAGAAGUGAAAUCCCGCGGCUCAACUGCGGGCGUGCUUUUGAAACUGUGAUUCUAGAGUACUGGAGGGGCAAGCGGAAUUCCUGGUGUAGCGGUGAAAUGCGUAGAUAUCAGGAAGAACACCGGAGGCGAAGGCGGCUUGCUGGACAGAGACUGACGCUGAGGCUCGAAGGCGUGGGGAGCAAAC